rnacentral:rRNA from 1 species
GCUUAGAGUUUGAUCCUGGCUCAGAUUGAACGCUGGCGGCAGGACUAACACAUGCAAGUCGAACGGUAACAGGAUAGCUUGCUAUCGCUGACGAGUGGCGGACGGGUGAGUAUUUACUUAGGGAUCUGCCUCUGAGUCGGGGGAUAACUAUUGGAAACGAUAGCUAAUACCGCAUAAUGUCUACGGACCAAAGCGGGCUUCGGCUCAUGCGCAGAGAGGAACCUAAGCGAGAUUAGCUAGUUGGUGAGGUAAAGGCUCACCAAGGCGACGAUCUCUAGCUGUUCUGAGAGGAAGAUCAGCCACACUGGAACUGAGACACGGUCCAGACUCCUACGGGAGGCAGCAGUGGGGAAUAUUGCACAAUGGGGGAAACCCUGAUGCAGCCAUGCCGCGUGUGUGAAGAAGGCCUUC